GGGUUGUGAGGUUAAGCGACUAAGCGUACACGGUGGAUGCCCUGGCAGUCAGAGGCGAUGAAGGACGUGCUAAUCUGCGAUAAGCGUCGGUAAGGUGAUAUGAACCGUUAUAACCGGCGAUUUCCGAAUGGGGAAACCCAGUGUGUUUCGACACACUAUCAUUAACUGAAUCCAUAGGUUAAUGAGGCGAACCGGGGGAACUGAAACAUCUAAGUACCCCGAGGAAAAGAAAUCAACCGAGAUUCCCCCAGUAGCGGCGAGCGAACGGGGAGCAGCCCAGAGCCUGAAUCAGUGUGUGUGUUAGUGGAAGCGUCUGGAAAGGCGCGCGAUACAGGGUGACAGCCCCGUACACAAAAAUGCACAUAUUGUGAGCUCGAUGAGUAGGGCGGGACACGUGGUAUCCUGUCUGAAUAUGGGGGGACCAUCCUCCAAGGCUAAAUACUCCUGACUGACCGAUAGUGAACCAGUACCGUGAGGGAAAGGCGAAAAGAACCCCGGCGAGGGGAGUGAAAAAGAACCUGAAACCGUGUACGUACAAGCAGUGGGAGCACGCUUAGGCGUGUGACUGCGUACCUUUUGUAUAAUGGGUCAGCGACUUAUAUUCUGUAGCAAGGUUAACCGAAUAGGGGAGCCGAAGGGAAACCGAGUCUUAACUGGGCGUUAAGUUGCAGGGUAUAGACCCGAAACCCGGUGAUCUAGCCAUGGGCAGGUUGAAGGUUGGGUAACACUAACUGGAGGACCGAACCGACUAAUGUUGAAAAAUUAGCGGAUGACUUGUGGCUGGGGGUGAAAGGCCAAUCAAACCGGGAGAUAGCUGGUUCUCCCCGAAAGCUAUUUAGGUAGCGCCUCGUGAAUUCAUCUCCGGGGGUAGAGCACUGUUUCGGCAAGGGGGUCAUCCCGACUUACCAACCCGAUGCAAACUGCGAAUACCGGAGAAUGUUAUCACGGGAGACACACGGCGGGUGCUAACGUCCGUCGUGAAGAGGGAAACAACCCAGACCGCCAGCUAAGGUCCCAAAGUCAUGGUUAAGUGGGAAACGAUGUGGGAAGGCCCAGACAGCCAGGAUGUUGGCUUAGAAGCAGCCAUCAUUUAAAGAAAGCGUAAUAGCUCACUGGUCGAGUCGGCCUGCGCGGAAGAUGUAACGGGGCUAAACCAUGCACCGAAGCUGCGGCAGCGACGCUUAUGCGUUGUUGGGUAGGGGAGCGUUCUGUAAGCCUGCGAAGGUGUGCUGUGAGGCAUGCUGGAGGUAUCAGAAGUGCGAAUGCUGACAUAAGUAACGAUAAAGCGGGUGAAAAGCCCGCUCGCCGGAAGACCAAGGGUUCCUGUCCAACGUUAAUCGGGGCAGGGUGAGUCGACCCCUAAGGCGAGGCCGAAAGGCGUAGUCGAUGGGAAACAGGUUAAUAUUCCUGUACUUGGUGUUACUGCGAAGGGGGGACGGAGAAGGCUAUGUUGGCCGGGCGACGGUUGUCCCGGUUUAAGCGUGUAGGCUGGUUUUCCAGGCAAAUCCGGAAAAUCAAGGCUGAGGCGUGAUGACGAGGCACUACGGUGCUGAAGCAACAAAUGCCCUGCUUCCAGGAAAAGCCUCUAAGCAUCAGGUAACAUCAAAUCGUACCCCAAACCGACACAGGUGGUCAGGUAGAGAAUACCAAGGCGCUUGAGAGAACUCGGGUGAAGGAACUAGGCAAAAUGGUGCCGUAACUUCGGGAGAAGGCACGCUGAUAUGUAGGUGAAGUCCCUUGCGGAUGGAGCUGAAAUCAGUCGAAGAUACCAGCUGGCUGCAACUGUUUAUUAAAAACACAGCACUGUGCAAACACGAAAGUGGACGUAUACGGUGUGACGCCUGCCCGGUGCCGGAAGGUUAAUUGAUGGGGUCAGCGCAAGCGAAGCUCUUGAUCGAAGCCCCGGUAAACGGCGGCCGUAACUAUAACGGUCCUAAGGUAGCGAAAUUCCUUGUCGGGUAAGUUCCGACCUGCACGAAUGGCGUAAUGAUGGCCAGGCUGUCUCCACCCGAGACUCAGUGAAAUUGAACUCGCUGUGAAGAUGCAGUGUACCCGCGGCAAGACGGAAAGACCCCGUGAACCUUUACUAUAGCUUGACACUGAACAUUGAGCCUUGAUGUGUAGGAUAGGUGGGAGGCUUGGAAGUGUGGACGCCAGUCUGCAUGGAGCCGACCUUGAAAUACCACCCUUUAAUGUUUGAUGUUCUAACGUUGACCCGUAAUCCGGGUUGCGGACAGUGUCUGGUGGGUAGUUUGACUGGGGCGGUCUCCUCCUAAAGAGUAACGGAGGAGCACGAAGGUUGGCUAAUCCUGGUCGGACAUCAGGAGGUUAGUGCAAUGGCAUAAGCCAGCUUGACUGCGAGCGUGACGGCGCGAGCAGGUGCGAAAGCAGGUCAUAGUGAUCCGGUGGUUCUGAAUGGAAGGGCCAUCGCUCAACGGAUAAAAGGUACUCCGGGGAUAACAGGCUGAUACCGCCCAAGAGUUCAUAUCGACGGCGGUGUUUGGCACCUCGAUGUCGGCUCAUCACAUCCUGGGGCUGAAGUAGGUCCCAAGGGUAUGGCUGUUCGCCAUUUAAAGUGGUACGCGAGCUGGGUUUAGAACGUCGUGAGACAGUUCGGUCCCUAUCUGCCGUGGGCGCUGGAGAACUGAGGGGGGCUGCUCCUAGUACGAGAGGACCGGAGUGGACGCAUCACUGGUGUUCGGGUUGUCAUGCCAAUGGCACUGCCCGGUAGCUAAAUGCGGAAGAGAUAAGUGCUGAAAGCAUCUAAGCACGAAACUUGCCCCGAGAUGAGUUCUCCCUGACCCUUUAAGGGUCCUGAAGGAACGUUGAAGACGACGACGUUGAUAGGCCGGGUGUGUAAGCGCAGCGAUGCGUUGAGCUAACCGGUACUAAUGAACCGUGAGGCUUAACCUUACAACGCCGAAGCUGUU
rnacentral:rRNA from 1 species